AAAAAUAUAUACUUAAUGAGAGUAAUUCUCAUAUUGUUCUCUGUCAGAUAAUUAGUGAGUGGUAAUAAUAUUCUAGUGAAGUGUGUUAAAUAAAGAAUGUUAUUUUUUUUAAAGUUGUAGUAGUCUCUUGACACUACUACGUUGUUUAUUAUAAUGAUAAUAUUGCUCCACUCGGGUAUUGUAUUUUACCCCGUUAAAAGUGUCACUGUUACUCUCUUGUGUUAUUAUUAUUUGUUGUGGAUAUUAUUCCUGGACGAGAUUAUUUAUUUUAUUCUAAC
rnacentral:lncRNA from 1 species